rnacentral:rRNA from 1 species
GACGUAGGGCGCGAGCGUUGUCCGGAAUUAUUGGGCGUAAAGAGCUCGUAGGCGGUUUGUCGCGUCGGCUGUGAAAACUGGAGGCUUAACCUUCAGCGUGCAGUCGAUACGGGCAGACUUGAGUUCGGUAGGGGAGUCUGGAAUUCCUGGUGUAGCGGUGAAAUGCGCAGAUAUCAGGAGGAACACCGGUGGCGAAGGCGGGACUCUGGGCCGAUACUGACGCUGAGGAGCGAAAGCGUGGGGAGCGAACAGG